GACGAACGCUGGCGGCGUGCUUAACACAUGCAAGUCGAACGGAAAGGCCUGCUUUCCCUUGUGGAUUGCGGGUACUCGAGUGGCGAACGGGUGAGUAACACGUGAGUGAUCUGCCCCCAACUUGGGUAUAGGCCUGGGAAACUGGGUCUAAUUCCCGAUAGGACUGCAGGGUGGUGCCUGUGGUGGAAAACGAUUUUCUAGUGGUUGGGGAUGAGCUCGCGGCCUAUCAGCUUGUUGGUGGGGUAAUGGCCUACCAAGGCGGCGACGGGUAGCCGGCCUGAGAGGGUGGACGGCCACAUUGGGACUGAGAUACGGCCCAGACUCCUACGGGAGGCAGCAGUGGGGAAUAUGGCACAAUGGGCGGAAGCCUGAUGCAGCGACGCCGCGGGGGGGAUGACGGCCUUCGGGUUGUAAACUCCUUUCGACCGCGAGGAAGCCACCUGGUUGGAAGGGUGGUGACGGUAGUGGUAGAAGAAGCACCGGCUAACUACGUG
rnacentral:rRNA from 1 species